GACGAAGGGGGCUAGCGUUGUUCGGAAUUACUGGGCGUAAAGCGCGUGUAGGCGGUUGUCCAAGUUGGAUGUGAAAGCCUUGAGCUCAACUCAAGAAAUGCAUUCAGGACUGGGCGACUAGAGGACCGGAGAGGUGAGUGGAAUUCCCAGUGUAGCGGUGAAAUGCGUAGAUAUUGGGAGGAACACCAGUGGCGAAGGCGGCUCACUGGACCGGAACUGACGCUGAGGCGCGAAAGCUAGGGGAGCAAACGGG
rnacentral:rRNA from 1 species